rnacentral:rRNA from 1 species
UACAGAGGUCUCAAGCGUUGUUCGGAUUCAUUGGGCGUAAAGGUGUGUAGGUGGCGCCGUAAGUCGGGUGUGAAAUUUCGGAGCUUAACUCCGAAACUGCAUUCGAUACUGCGGUGCUUGAGGACUGGAGAGGAGACUGGAAUUCAUGGUGUAGCAGUGAAAUGCGUAGAGAUCAUGAGGAAGACCAGUGGCGAAGGCGGGUCUCUGGACAGUUCCUGACACUGAGACACGAAGGCCAGGGGAGGCAAACGGG